UACGUAGGGGGCAAGCGUUAUCCGGAAUUGUUGGGCGUAAAGAGUGCGUAGGUGGUUUCUUAAGCGCAGGGUUUAAUCUAGCGGCUCAACCGCUUCUCGCCCUGCGAACUGGGAGACUUGAGUGCAGGAGGGGAAAGCGGAAUUCCUAGUGUAGCGGUGAAAUGCGUAGAUAUUAGGAGAAACACCAGCGGCGAAGGCGGCUUUCUGGACUGUAACUGACACUGAGGCACGAAAGCGUGGGGAGCAAACA
rnacentral:rRNA from 1 species